rnacentral:rRNA from 1 species
AUUGAACGCUAGCGGGAUGCUCUACACAUGCGAGUCGAACGGCAGCGCGGACUUCGGUCUGGCGGCGAGUGGCGAACGGGUGAGUAAUGUAUCGGAACGUGCCCAGUAGCGGGGGAUAACUACGCGAAAGCGUAGCUAAUACCGCAUACGCCCUACGGGGGAAAGCAGGGGAUCGUAAGACCUUGCACUAUUGGAGCGGCCGAUAUCGGAUUAGCUAGUUGGUGAGGUAACGGCUCACCAAGGCGACGAUCCGUAGCUGGUUUGAGAGGACGACCAGCCACACUGGGACUGAGACACGGCCCAGACUCCUACGGGAGGCAGCAGUGGGGAAUUUUGGACAAUGGGGGCAACCCUGAUCCAGCCAUCCCGCGUGUGCGAUGAAGGCCUUCGGGUUGUAAAGCACUUUUGGCAGGAAAGAAACGUCGCGGGCUAAUACCCCGUGGAACUGACGGUACCUGCAGAAUAAGCACCGGCUAACUACGUG